rnacentral:rRNA from 1 species
AGAAGAAGCACCGGCUAACUACGUGCCAGCAGCCGCGGUAAUACGUAGGGUGCGAGCGUUAAUCGGAAUUACUGGGCGUAAAGCGUGCGCAGGCGGUUCUAUAAGACAGAUGUGAAAUCCCCGGGCUUAACCUGGGAACUGCGUUUGUGACUGUAGGACUCGAGUGUGGCAGAGGGGGUGGAAUUCCACGUGUAGCAGUGAAAUGCGUAGAGAUGUGGAGGAACACCGAUGGCGAAGGCAGCCCCCUGGGUCAACACUGACGCUCAUGCACGAAAGCGUGGGGAGCAAACAGGAUUAGAUACCCUGGUAGUCCACGCCCUAAACGAUGCGAACUAGGUGUUGGGGAAGGAGACUUUCUUAGUACCGCAGCUAACGCGUGAAGUUCGCCGCCUGGGGAGUACGGUCGCAAGAUUAAAACUCAAAGGAAUUGACGGGGAC